GAUGAAGAACGUAGCGAAAUGCGAUAAGUAAUGUGAAUUGCAGAAUUCAGUGAAUCAUCGAAUCUUUGAACGCACAUUGCGCCCCCUGGUAUUCCGGGGGGCAUGCCUGUUCGAGCGUCAUUUCACCACUCAAGCCUCGCUUGGUAUUGGGCAACGCGGUCCGCCGCGUGCCUCAAAUCGUCCGGCUGGGUCUUCUGUCCCCUAAGCGUUGUGGUAACUAUUCGCUAAAGGGUGUUCGGGAGGCUACGCCGUAAAACAACCCCAUUUCUAAGGUUGACCUCGGAUCAGGUAGGGAUACCCGCUGAACUUAAGCAUAUCAAUAAGCGGAGGA
rnacentral:misc_RNA from 1 species